ACAGGGUCAGCUGUUGACCCUGCUACUUAGCAGCUGGACAAGCGACUUAGCCUCUCCACACCCUAGUUUUCUUGUUUGUGGUGAUCAUUUUCAAAAGCGGCCACCACAGUCGCUCCUGGACUCCUUACAAAGUGAUGGUUCCAUUCCCUCCUUCAAGAGAAGGAAUCCAGCUUCCUCCUGCAGUUUGGGCUGGUCACUUACUUUGAGCAAUAGAAUGUGGCAGCGAUGCUGUGCCAGUCCAGGCUCUUAUGUUAGGAAGCCUCUCAGCUUUCACUUUUGCCCCCUAGGAAAACAGCUGCAGAGGGGAGACGCUCCAGCUGGACACCUCAGUGGUGGACAGCCCAUGUGAACAGAGAGGCAGUUGGAGGAGAACUGAGGAGCGGCAGCAGCCAGCCAGCACCAAGGCUUCAGGAAUCCAAGGAGACCUGCUUGGAUCUCCCCACCUCAGCUACAGCAACUCCUCCUUGUUACAAGGCAGACAUGCUUAUACAGGGGUGGCAUUGACAUGAAAAAGGAACAUCUGGCAUCAUAACAUUCAGAGUCUGGAAUGAAGAAAAGGGAAAACAACAACCUCUAGGGAAAAAAGGAGGACAUUGGGUCCCAGGGAGAGAAGGAAAACAAUGGGCUCUGGACUUUCACCAUUUCCUGUUCUACAACUGUUUCCCUGACUGCCCAACUGACACAAUCUGCUGUGAUUCAGUCUAACUGAACCCUAUAAAAUUCAGACCCCUAUUGUAACCAGUUGCCAUUUUCUGUCUUGAAAAUGUGUCGCUCCUCUGCUUAAUAAAACAUGCUGAUC